rnacentral:rRNA from 1 species
GAUGAACGCUGGCGGCGUGCCUAACACAUGCAAGUCGAGCGGAGCGGGGACGGGUGAGUAAUACGUGGAUAACUUCUUAUAAGACUGGGAUACUUUCGGAAAACCGGAGCUAUACCGGUUACUUAUCGAUGGAUCCGAGCUGCAUUAGCUAGUUGGUACGGUAACGGCGUACCAAGGCAACGAUGCCUAGCCGACCUGAGAGGAGGAGCGGCCACACUGGAACUGAGACACGGUCCAGACUCCUACGGGAUGCAGAAGUAGGGAAUAUUGCGCAAUGGGCGAAAGCCUGACGGAGCAACGCCGCGUGGGUGAAGAAGGUCUUCGGAUCGUAAAACUCUGUUAUUGGGGAGGCGGUACCUAAUCAGAAAGCAACGGCUAACUACGUGCCAGCAGCCGCGGUAAUUC